rnacentral:misc_RNA from 1 species
CCGAGUUUACAACUCUCCAAACUCCAUGUGAACAUACCUAUCGUUGCUUCGGCGGAUCGCCCCUGGGCGCCUUGCGUGCCACCGGAUCCACGGCGGACCGCCCGGGGGACCUUAACUCUUGUUUCUACUGAGAAUCUUCUGAGUCGUUUUUACAAAUAAAUAA